CACCAUCCAGAAUCCCUCCGGUGUCGGCUGAAAUCCUCGUGUUCGUAUUCCAAGGAAAACUGCUGCAGUUGUCUUCAGCUGUUGCCUCUGUUGGUGGUCCUUGUAGAGGAGCCAAGGGCUGGGGUGAUCUCAGGAGAAUGCUCAGGGGGAAUUCAGGGACGAGAAAUUUAAUGGCUGCAGUUUUAUAAUCUUUAUCAGACCAUCAAGGCUGGAAUCGAAAGGUAGGAGUUAUCAUCUCCAAGAGUUCUGUCAUCUCAGUCAACCUUCAAGAGAAAAUCAUUGCAAGACAGCCUCUGUGCCUGCAGAGAACUGGGUUGUGUGGCACAGCCAGGGAUGCAGUUGGCCAAGAGCCACCUCUGACAGCAGCCAAGAGAAACCAUUUUUGGGGAGCUGCUUGUUCAAGUAUGAGUGAGAAUGAGAAGCAACCAUUGAACAAGAGGCACAUUCCUCCAGACAUCUUCCAAAUGGCACAAGGGAGCUGCUGCUGCUGCUUCUGACCUACUGAAUUACAUUCAAUCCAGAUGAGAAACAGGAGAACAUGGAGGUUUUGCAAUUUGAGCGGAGCCGUGCGGGAGCUCUUUGGCAGAAGAGGCGGCCUCCCGAGGGAGCUGAACAACAGCUGCACCAGGAGAGAACCCUGCACAGGAGACAAGAACUUCUGAAAUGCCAUCAGGGACUACCAGAAAGCAGCACAACAAACACCCCAAAACACAGGAAGGAGCUGCAGAAAGCCAGUGUGAGGAUCAAAAGA